AUUGAACGCUGGCGGCAGGCCUAACACAUGCAAGUCGAACGAGUGGCGGCCGGGUGAGUAAUGUAUGGGAAACUGACUGAUGGAGGGGGAUAACUACUGGAAACGGUCGCUGCUACCGCAUACCAUCAGAUGUGCCCCGAUGGGAUUAGCUAGUUGGUGGGGUAACGGCUGACCAAGGCGACGAUCCCUAGCUGGUCUGAAAGGAUGAACAGCCACGCUGGAACGGAGACACGGUCCAGACGCGUACGGGAGGCAGCAGUGGGUAAUAUUGCACGAUGGGGGCAAGCCUGAUGCAGCCAUGCCGCGUGUAUGAAGAAGGCCUGCGGGGUGUAAAGUACUUUCAGUGGGGAGGCGUUACCCGCAGAAGAAGCACCGGCUAACUCCGUGCCAGCCGCCGCGGUAAUAC
rnacentral:rRNA from 1 species